GGCCAGUACGGGCAGAAUCACAGAUCCUUCGUUAUUCGAUGUUUCGUUAUGGAAUUCCCGCUGGAUCGACACUCUCUUCAAAUGACGCACGAUUUAUGUACGCGUGUGCUUUAUACUAUCGUUAUACUAACUAUAAUAGGCUGCUAGGCUGCUGUAUACUAGCAAAGAGGGAAUUAGAGUGCUGGCGCGCGUCCUUGUGUUUGUCCCCUAUACAAGCGCUGUACCAAACAGCCAAGUGUUGCAGUGGUUUAACCACAGACGAGUAUAUGCAUAAGAUAAAUCACAUAUAAUCAAAGUACGAUCGUAUUAAAUAGGUUUCGACACUCGCUAGGGGAAACCGUUCGAAAAUUGAGUCGUCAAAAAUUAACACGGAAGACAAUAAAGUUCUUCUUAUUCUGCUCGUGCAUAAUACGCACAUAUACAUAGAUACUACUAGAUUAAUAAAUGAUAAUAAAUAUGGAAACGUUUUAAAACUUUGUAUAACACAGAUAUGAAAUUAUUCGAGGCAAAAGCGCUAGAUUUAUGCGCGAAGCAUAUGAAUCUGAGCAAUUUCGCUAAAAUGUGAGUCCGAUUAGCUACGCAACUAUGUUAUGGCUUUUAUUCGUGCAAAAAAAUGUUAGUACUUGUCGGAAGUUCAUAUUUAUUUUAUUUGUAUAGCUGUUUAGUAGAUCAGUGUGUAUAGUUGCAUUUGAAAUAUGUAAACAAUCAAAUUAUGUGGUAUUAGGUGAUAUUGUAGCAGCAGUAAAAAUAUUUUUGUUUCGUCUGGCGGUCAAGGUUUUAAAACGUUACAAUGAUUCUUUUUGCUGAACGAAACAAGAAAUAAGAAGAAAAGAGGAGGAGACACAGAGGUGAAUAAAAGAGGGUUGAUAAAAGAAGUGGUAAUAAGUAUGAAAGAGAAGCUUGAACCAAGUUAACGAAAAUGGAAGGAAGGGAAGCUAAGUCUGGAUAGGAGGGUACGGGAGCUGGAGAAGGCAGAGGAACGCAGAAAUAACAGGGGAAAAAAGAGAAUAACGUAAUGAUUAAAGAUGUCCGAAUAAAUAGGUAAUUAGAACAGGAGGUUGGAGGGUUUAUAACGAAGAACGUGGAAACUGGAAAAGGAAUAUUAGUACGACAAGAGUAAGAUUGGCUGAAAUAGAAGACAUAAAUGAUAAUCUAUAUAUAGAUGACAGUCUAACAACGAUAGAGUGUGUAAUACAGAGAGCAGUAAGCAAUAGGGAAGGUAAAAGUUAAUGGAAAUCAGAUAUAAAAAGUUAUUUAGAAAUAGAAACAAAUAUAUAUAUAUAUAUAGAGAGAGAAAGGCGUUUGAUCUUAGUAAGAGAGGGUUAUUUUUUGAGAAACCAGCCGAUAAAAAUUAACAGGGUACUCGUUAUCUCGAGAGAUCAUUUAAAAGGAGGAGGUUUAGUGGUAGAAUGUGCAUUAUUUAUAAUAUUAAGGAAAUUAAAAAGAAAGAGAAGGUGAAAGAAACUGAAACAAUAAGAGAAAGUGAAACAUGGUUUCGCGGCCGAAAUAGUAAAAAAGAUAAGAACUAUAAUAUCAGUGAUAUACACGUUAAGAAAGAGAGAAUGUAACAAAGAGUUUUUAGUAAAGACUGUAAGGACAGAUGUUGAGAUUCGUUUAGUUGAAUAGCAUGCCAAAGAAAAGUAAACGAAGAUUACCGACGAAUCUCAGAAGCAGAGUUAAAUAGAAUUUCAGUUUAUUUAUAAUAUAAAUCGAAUAAAUACUAUGUAUACUAUCUGUAUGACAAAUACUACCAAAUCAACAAUAGCAAGACAGAAAUAAGUACAAACUAAAAGUAAAUAAUAAUAAUUGCUAUGAUAUAGAAUAAGAAUGAUUAUUUAAAAAAGUGAAACGUAAUGGACAAUUGCCCGAUACAAUAAACGUAUAAAUAAUAAACACUAUAUGUAUACAUACAGAGUCUAUUAGCGGUAGAGUGUAUUAUUAAAUGUAUAACUUUUUAUCAUUUCUAAUUUAAAAAAGAUGUAACGUUCGGUUUUAUAGCUUUUAUUGUCUGGAUUUAUUAUAAUAGUUUUAACGAUAAAAGAAGCUAACUAAAAGGAUAAAAAGGUAACUAUCUAGUAACCAACUUUUAAAACGUUCGAAAUAAAUGGUAAUUUUCCGCGUGUGCGCACAACGCGAACUUUGUUAGCUUACAUGUUGAUUUUCUUACGACUCAAUUUUCGCACGGUUUCUCUUCUUCGUGCUUCGGUAUAUGAGCGUCGAGACUCGUUUGAUCGCGAGUGGUGUGAGAUCCGUUUAUACGACAGUGUCUAGGAGAGUGGUACAUUUGUCGCCUAUGGUCACCACAUUUCUAUCAGUGUUGUUCCGUCCAUUACGGAUAGUUGAACCUCUCUCGAAGGAAUGAUCUACUCCAGCGGUCCUUGACGGUUCUGUAUUCCGUGGAACCUCGGACGGCCUCGAAGCCCCCGUAUUCGUAUACGAAUAAAAAAUAUAUAGUUUGUACAAAUAAAUACACAUGUAUCCCUCUC